AACUCAAAUGAAUUGACGGGCCCCGCACAAGCAGCGGAGCGUGUGGUUUAAUUCGAUGCUACACGAAGAACCUUACCAGGGUUUGACAUACAAGUAGUAGGGAAAGGAAACUGGACCGACCCUUCGGGGAGCUUGAACAGGUGCUGCAUGGCUGUCGUCAGCUCGUGUCGUGAGAUGUUCGGUUAAGUCCGCUAACGAGCGCAACCCUCGCUGUGUGUUACAAGUGUCACACGGAACUGCCGGUCAUAAACCGGAGGAAGGUGGGGAUGACGUCAAGUCAGCAUGGCCUUUAUAUCCUGGGCUACACACACGCUACAAUGGGAAGGGACAAUAGGUUGCGAAACCGCGAGGUGGAGCCAAUCCAGCAAAACUUCCCUCAGUUCAGAUUGCAGGCUGCAACUCGCCUGCAUGAAGUUGGAGUUGCUAGUAAACGCAGGUCAGCCAUACUGCGUUGAAUACGUUCCCGGGGCUU
rnacentral:rRNA from 1 species